rnacentral:lncRNA from 1 species
AUAUUAAUUGUUCUAGAUGUUAUGAUUAUACCAAGACUUUCUUUGAGGAAAACAUCACCUGUUAAUGCCACUAUCCCAAAUUUUAAUUCCAAGAUCCAAAGAUUGUAUCCAUAUAUAUUAAAUGUUAUACAAAAAUCUCAUUUUAAAUCUAAAAAAAUUUAAGGAGCUAGCUAGCUUCAUCUUCAUCCUAACUAGAUUGAAUUUUUACAUAUAUUACAUCAAUAAUGCUUCUAUCCUUGCUCCAUUGUGUAUAAAUGAAAAGAAAAGAAAAGAAAUGUGACAUCCUGAUGCCAAAAUAGGGUACAAUGUCCAAAUGAGCAUACAUAAAAUAGAUAUUUAUAUUGCAGCAGAACUAU